GAUGAAGAACGCAGCGAAAUGCGAUACUUUGUGUGAAUUGCAGAAUCCCGUGAACCAUCGAGUCUUUGAACGCAAGUUGCGCCCGAAGCCGUCAGGCCGAGGGCACGCCUGCCUGGGCGUCACACGCCGUUGCCCCCCCGCGCCCCGCACCCAACUCUUUGGGAGCGACCGCGGGGCGGGCUGAUGAUGGCCUCCCGUGCGCUCCGCCGCGCGGUUGGCCCAAAUACCGAGUCCCCGGCGACGUGCGCCACGACGAUCGGUGGUUGAGAGACCUCUGUCGCAAGUCGUGCGCGCCCGUCGCGUCACGCGGGCUCGCAUAGCGCCUCGCGCCGCACCCGGUGCGGAGCUUUCAACGCGACCCCAGGUCAGGCGGGGUUACCCGCUGAAUUUAAGCAUAUCAAUAAGCGGAGGA
rnacentral:misc_RNA from 1 species